GUCUACAGCCAUACUACUCUGAAUAAGCCUGAUCCCGUCUGAUCUCGGAAGCUAAGCAACAGUUGGGCCUGGUUAGUACUUGGAUUGGAGACCAUCUAGCAAGACCAAGUGCUUGCUGUAAGCA
ensembl:rRNA 5S_rRNA 5S ribosomal RNA